AUUAAGUACCGCUCCUCUCUGUAUUCCCUCUCUUCAGAAUGGCCUGCCCAUCCCCCCAACCUCCCAGGACACUGAUGUCAGCACAGUAGCAGCUUCCUUGACAAAUAUUUGUGGAGCUGAAUAAAAAAGCAGCACAGAAGAGCAAACCCCUUGAGAGAUGUCGGCCGACUCCCAGGCCUCCAGAACUUAGCUUGAUGGACUUUGACAGACAGGGAUUUGUUUCUUCGUGUUGUUUAGCUCAAACCAGAGCUAAACCUCCUCAUCGUCUCAAAUGACCUGAAAUGGUUUCCCAAGCAACCUGGGCAGACCCUGGGGAGUCCAGAAGGCAUUCAGGGGCCCUGGACCUCUGGGGCUGAAGAUCUGCCUGCCGCUGUCCUGGAGGUCACAGGUUCCAGAAGGGCAGCAGAUGCCUGAAGCCGCAGGGCUGCGGGAAAUGAGGAAGCGGAGGGAGAGUGGACUGGAAGGAACUUGACCCAGGAUGCUGAGCAAAAUUUGCCAUUCAGCUACAAGAAGUGCAGUUGGCAGACAGCCUUCAACUUCAGCAUCUUCAGAGUCUGCCUUGACUUUCAAG
rnacentral:lncRNA from 1 species